UCAAUAUUUAAUAGUAAUAAGUAAUAUCUAAUAGCAAAAAGCAAUAUCUAGUAGCAAUAAUUAAUAUCCAAUAGUAAAAAUCAAUAUCCAAUAACAAUACCCAAUAUCCAAUAGUAAAAACCAAUAUCCAGUAGCAAUAACCAAUAUCCUUCAAAAUUAUAGAAUCUUAGCACUCAAUUUCUUCUAAUCCAACUAUUAGAUUGAGGUCAAAAUUUGUGAGGAGUAAGAUAAUAUUCUUAACUUCAAAUGAAUGAUAAUCACAAGAACGUGCUCGAAUGUGAGUCAACCUUCUUCUCCAAUCUAAAUGUGGAAUUUUCAGUACCAAUGUCUUCUUAUUAAACUAUUUUAUUAAUCUCACAAUUUCUACAUACAAAGGAAAACAAGUCUACUUCUUAAACACACAACUUCCACUCCAAUCCAACUAAUACAUUGUAAGAAAUCUUAAAAACCUUCACUGGACCUAAAAUUC
rnacentral:lncRNA from 1 species